rnacentral:tRNA from 1 species
GGUGGUGUAGCCAAGUGGUAAGGCAGGAGCCUGCAAAGCUCUCAUCCGGGAGUUCGAAUCCCCCCACCACCU